AUGCAAGUCGAACGAUGAACCCGCUUCGGUGGGGGAUUAGUGGCGAACGGGUGAGUAACACGUGGGCAAUCUGCCCUUCACUCUGGGACAAGCCCUGGAAACGGGGUCUAAUACCGGAUAUGACACGGGAUCGCAUGGUCUCCGUGUGGAAAGCUCCGGCGGUGAAGGAUGAGCCCGCGGACUAUCAGCUUGUUGGUGGGGUAAUGGCCUACCAAGGCGACGACGGGUAGCCGGCCUGAGAGGGCGACCGGACACACUGGGACUGAGACACGGCUCAGACUCCUACGGGAGGCAGCAGUGGGGAAUAUUGCACAAUGGGCGAAAGCCUGAUGCAGCGACGCCGCGUGAGGGAUGACGGCCUUCGGGUUGUAAACCUCUUUCAGCAGGGAAGAAGCGAAAGUGACGGUACCUGCAGAAGAAGCGCCGGCUAACUACGUGCCAGCAGCCGCGGUAAUACGUAGGGCGCAAGCGUUGUCCGGAAUUAUUGGGCGUAAAGAGCUCGUAGGCGGCCAGUCGCGUCGGGUGUGAAAGACCGGGGCUUAACCCCGGUUCUGCAUUCGAUACGGGCUGGCUAGAGUG
rnacentral:rRNA from 1 species